GUCUGAUUUGUAGACUAUCUUGUGGUUGUUGUUUGAUUUUGUUUAUUGGUUUAUUGAAAUAUCAUUCCGGUUGUUGUAUUUUUUUGAUUUAAUUUUUUGUACGAUAGGUUACUUGUACUGUAAGGGGUUGUUUUAAGUGUUUUUAUGGAAGUUGAUUUUAUUUGUUGUACCUUGUGUAUCAGGGUUCAUUGAAUUUUAUUAUUUAUUUUUAUUUCCCGAUUUUAAUGGAGUUAAUGAUUUAUGUUAGUUAUUGUUUCAGUAAUAUUAAUAAUAGGUUGUUGGUAAUGAAAUGUUAUUCGUCUUUAGUGGUCUCUGGUUUUUCAAGAAAUGAAUUUAAUUCAUACAUCUUAUUUAAUUUCUGUUGUUGUUAUUAUUUAUUUUUAUUUGAUGUUAAGAUUAAGGGGGAUUAGCUCCUUAUUUUAUUUUUAUAAUUAUUAUGUUUUUAAUGGUUUAGUUUUGUGGAUUUUAUGGUGAUUUUCAAUUUGAUUAUGUUAAAAUUUUAUUUUUGCUUUUGUUUCUUUUUUGUUUAUUUAAGUUUUUAUUGGAAUGUUUUCUUUAUUUUGGUUUGUAAAGUAAUUAUUGUGUAAUUAGUAAAUUUUAUGUUAUUGUAUUGUUUUUAGGUUGAUGUUAAUUUCUUUUUAGGAAUUAGGCAAAUUUUGUGUCCGCCUGUUUAACAAAAACAUCUUUUCUCGUUAGUUUUUGAAGUAUAGCCUGCCCACUGACAUGAGGUUGAAGGGCCGCGGUAUUUUGACCGUGCAAAGGUAGCGUAAUCAUUAGUUCUUUAAUUGUGAUCUGGUAUGAAUGGCUUGACGAGAUACGAGCUGUCUUGGUGGAAUUAUUUGUUGAAUUUGGGGUUUGAGUUAAAAUACUUAGAUGUUUUUAUGGGACGAGAAGACCCUAUAGAGUUUGACAAUUUAUUUAUUAGUGUAGUGUUGUUUGUUUUGUUUAUUUAGUGAGUGGAAUUGUUUUGUUGGGGUGAUGGGAGGAAUUUUUUUUAACUCCUCUUUGUUUAAGUAUAUUUGUGUAUAAUAUUAUUGAUCCAUUUAUUUUGAUUAUAAGAUUAAAUUACCUUAGGGAUAACAGCGUUAUCUUCCUUGAGAGUUCUUAUUGGCGGGAAGGUUUGCGACCUCGAUGUUGGAUUAAGAUGAAUUUUCGGUGCAGGAGCUGAAGUUGAUUAGGUCUGUUCGACCUUUAAAAUCUUACAUGAUCUGAGUUCAGACCGGCGUGAGCCAGGUUGGUUUCUAUCUAUAAUGUUUUGUUAUGCCUUAGUACGAGAGGACCGGGUAUUAGAAAUAAUUUUAUUUAUUAUUGAUUUUUAUUAAUGUGGUUGCUAUUUUGGCAGAUAAGUGCGUUGGAUUUAGAAUCUAUU
rnacentral:rRNA from 1 species